rnacentral:miRNA from 1 species
GUAGAGAUGGGGUUUCACCAUGUUGGCCAGGCUGGUCUUGAACUCCUGACCUCAGGUGAUCCACCCACC